rnacentral:rRNA from 1 species
UACGAAGGUGGCAAGCGUUGUUCGGAAUCACUGGGCUUAAAGGGCGCGUAGGCGGAUCAGAAAGUGUCUUGUGAAAUACCCCGGCUUAACCGGGGAAUGGCUCGGCAAACUACUGGUCUUGAGGCAAGUAGGGGUGUGUGGAACUCUUGGUGGAGCGGUGGAAUGCGUAGAUAUCAAGAGGAACGCCGAAGGUGAAGACAGCACACUGGACUUGCCCUGACGCUGAGGCGCGAAAGCGUGGGGAGCAAACAGGAUUAGAUACCCUGGUAGUCCACGCCGUAAACGAUGCCUACUAGGUUGUGGGGGUUCUGACACUUCCACAGUCGUAGCAAAAGUGUUAAGUAGGCCGCCUGGGGAGUACGGUCGCAAGGCUAAA